rnacentral:lncRNA from 1 species
UAUAUUUUUCCUAUUUACCAAGCAAACCACGGAGGAGUAUUAUAACAAACUGCAUGAGACAACAAAGUGAGCUUCAAAGCCACAUCUAUCUGAUAAAGACACUCUGUUUCUUCCUUAUUGAAUGCGGUGAACCACAAGACUCCUCGAAGUGGGCUGCAUCAACCUUUUAUUUUUUUCAUGAAAAUGAACAUAUCCAACAUGACAAACGAACUGCACUAGACCGGAUUUAAACAAAAACAAAAGAGUGUUAAAACAAUUCAGGAAGUGAACUACCUAAAAAGAUGACCCCCAUGGAGGAGCGAACCUCUCCAACAUACACAGUGAACCCCUCAUAAAAACGACCACGUGUGCAUAGUCCAAGGGAACUGCCCGUGCACACGCGAGUUCACCGGAAAACCGUCGACGCCAUGGGCCAAAUUGCACGUCCCGUUGGUCAAGCUGCACUCCUACGUGCGCAAAACUGCAUGGUGGGCAGGGCAACCUGAAGUCAGGUGGUUUCAUGGAGGAAUUACCAUAGCCAUAGGUAGGAAACGGUGAAAAAUUUAUAGGGGAGUGAGAUCACCUAGUCACCCAAGACUGAUGAGCACUAGCCCAGGAAUCCUUUUCAUCGGUUUCUGCAAAACAAACAGAAAUCAAAGACAAAGAAGCACAAAUCUAGCGGUCAGCUCGGAUUGGAACAAAAGGUAUAUCAUACAUAAAUUCUUCGGCUGGCGCACACAAGGAAGCCAAAUUCUGAAUCGACAAGGCAAGUUGACCAAGUAAACUACACUUUGUCUCGAAAUAAUAAACUGAACUUCACGAGCACCUUACUUUUUUAACAAGUUUCUCUAACAGCUUUUUUGGGAACUUCAAUCAUAUUUGUUUGUGAACUUCAGUCCACUUUCAGGCUGCAGGUGGGACAAUACAUGGGAGUCCCACCUCCAACCCACCUGAUCCCACUAUGUUUAGUGGGAGUAACUCGACACCCCAUCAAAACAUGCAUAAAUUAUAUGGGCUCAAGUGGGAUCCCAUUUAGCAAAUGGAAGAUUGAAACAUAAUACUCCAGUACGCACUAGUUUAGCAUCCAUCUGCCGAGUCCACAUUACAGUGUCACCCUUACUCCUCUGUUCUCUGUAAUUUUGCUUCUUUCGUUUUAGUUAGCACUGCACGAGCCCACUAUAGUGUGUGUGCGCGCUGUGCAACGGUGCAAGUCAGCAUCGACGACCGCAGUGCAAGCAUAUGUAGUCCGGUGACUAGCUCUCCCUUUCCAUUGGUGUUGAAAAUAGAAGUAGAGAAGAAAAUAUUGCAGCAUGUUUAGAGCUGCCAGAAACACACGACUCCUCUGUUCUUCAUGUGUGUGAGAGUUGAGACCUGACAUUGCCCAGCACUUCGGACCUGCAGUCGCCUCCACGGCCAGGCGACCGACCAUGGAGCACCACAUGACGUUCCUCUUGGCGGCCAUAACCAAUCAGCAGACCUGCCUGCAGCCCGACAUCCGCCAGAUCUUGCUUCCAUGGCCAAGAAGCUGCCCACUAAUCCUUGCGGCCUGGUGCCAGGAAGAAGAAACAGGGGUGCAGCAGCGGCGACGGCCAUCAAUCGGCGGCAGCGGCGGGAGCAUGCUGUGGCACCGUGCUCUACUGUGCAGUUGGCUAGCUUAAUAGGGCAAGAUGGGAUCCCAACGGGCUAAGUGGGAUAGCCCGAUUAACUUUUUCCCUAUCCAAUGGGAUUCCACUAAAGCAAAUUAAGUGGGAUGGACUAGUUAGUCCCACUUGAAUCCACUUCCAUCUGCAGUCUGAGUCCACUUGGUCUAGAUAGUGAGGUGCUUGCGCACGUCGCUUGUGUGAAGUGAGCAGGUCGUGUGGGAGGCGAAAUUGGUGAACACCACCGGCAGUCUAACUGCAUUGGAGCACCAAGCGGUGAGCUACAUCACCAUACGAACCGCACUGCACGCAUGCGAUGGGGGAAGCAAACGACACGCAGAUGAGCUCCGCACCACAGGGGUGCAUCGCGUGAACUGCACAGGGGGUCUACUGUUGACAUUGUCGCUGCCAUCGGGGCCAGGGAGGACCCGCUGCUGUAUACCAGGGGGGCUGCUGCGCCCGUUGGUGGCGAGGUAAGGUCCGAGGCUGGCAGGGAGGCACGUGUGGAGGGUUGGGAAGCGUCGGCGUGUGGCCGAGCUAGGUGCCGGCCCGAGCUCGAGUAAGAGGAGAUGAGGAGGCUAUCGGUGACACCCUGCUGCUCCUUGGAAGUUGGAUCAGGGAAUGAAGAGGGUCACGGCGGUGCCUGCAAAGCGCCGGUGGAGGAAGAUUGCAAUUUGCAAGAAUGGCAAUCGGAGACUGCGGGGCGGAGGAGCGGCUCACCUGUUUGACUCGUGUGGCGGCUCGGUCGUCAGAUCCAGGGGUCGACGUGGAGGAGGGCGGAUUGCAGCGAGGCGUAAGGCUGGAGUGGCGGCAACGGCGCUGGUCAGGGAGGUGCAGCGCUGGGGCGGCGGCGGCGGCGCGACCGAGCUGCACGGGGGCCGCGACCAAGCUGCACGUGGUGGGGUGGCACCCGAGUACCUACGGGUGGCGCAGAUGAGGGUCUCGCCGGAGACCGCCACGAGGAGAGGGCUCGUCGUCGACUUGAUCCAGAUCGAGGACGAAUGGCGGAUCCGGGCGUGGGGAAUGGGUGAUGCCGGGCAGGGGCGGCGGGAGACCAGCCCGAGGGGCACUAGGAGGUGCGGCCAGCUGCGGCGCCGGCGGGGGAAGAAGCCGGAUGAGGUCCGCCCUGACUCGUUGGAUGUCACCGUCGGCGCACGAUCUAGGGAGGAGAGGUCCAUGAGGGGCUCACCGGAUCUGGGGAGGAGAGGGCCACGGUGACCUCGACGCCCCACGGCCGCAGCCAUCUGGGAGGCCGGAUCCGGUGGGUUCUCGUCGUGAACCCACGGCCGGAUGCGGUGCUCGGCUACCCUUGUUGCACGAAGGAAGUGCUGGUGGCCAGGGGGGGCAGAGCGGGGAGACGGUGGUUGGAGCCACGGUGGCCGGGGCGCGAGAGAUCUGGCGGCGUCGGUGCCAGGAAGAAGGUGGGGAGCGGGGUUUCUGGUGGCGCGGGGGCCCCGGCAGAGAAGAAGGUGGGGGAGCGGUGGUUCUGGUGGCACGAUGGCCCCGACGGGGAAGAAGGUGGAGGAGCGCGUGGGGUUGCGCGGCGAUGGAGGCUCAGGGGUGGUGGAUCUAGUUCCGGUCGGGGGGACGGAAGAGUGUUAUCAGAAUAAGGCGAUUUGACGUGCAGAAUAAGCUCUUAAGGUGUUAUCAUAUAUAUACUAGCAAAAGGGCCCGUGCGUUGCAACGGGAAAAAAAUUCAUAAUCUUCAAUGGCCAUGAUCACAUUUUGCUGCAUCACUGAGAUACACUAUCACUCUCAAUUUCGUAAAAUCAUGAAUACAUUUUUAAACUCAUGAGCAUAUUUGAAAUCGUGAUCUUUUUCAAAUUCGUGAACACUUUUACAAAUUAUCAAAUAUUUCUAAAAUCAACAAAGUUUAUUGAACUCAUGAACAUUUUAUACUGUUUGCAUACAUUUUAUAAAAAAUUGUGAACAUUUUUUUAACGAUUAUCUUGAAUCAGUGAACAUUUCUUGAAUGGAUGAACAUUGUUUUUGAUAUUUUUUCCAUUCAUUUUUGAAUUGGCAAAAUUUUGUUCAAUUUCAUUAACAUUUUUAAUACACAAACUUUUUAAAAAAUCAUGAACAUUCUCUGAUUUCCCAAAAAAUUGUUUUCAAAAUUUCGAACAUUUUUUGAAUAAGCAAACAUUUUUCAUCAUGAUACUUAAGAUAACACCAAUACCUCGUGCAAACAAUAUUUAAGAGAGUACCAAUAUUUAAGGUCGAGCAGAAAUGCAUGGAUAGCAUGAGGUGAUACUAAGACAAAUCAAAUUAUAUUCAACCAUAGAUAGGAUAGGCACAUCCAUCAGUAUUGUUUUAGUUUGAUAUAUUGCUGUCCAAGAGAAUUUUAGUUUAGAGACUGUUCGGAUCUCCUCAAAUCUGUGCUUCGCCGAUUAUGCGAAGCGGAGGCUUCUUGCGGUGCAAUUUGGUGAAGCUGCCAAAGCUUAGCUUCCCAAAUCCGAAAUCAUUGGAAUGCCACCACCAAGUCAUGUGACGCUUCGUUGUGAAUUCCCCUUCUCACGAACCCUAUUGAAGCGCCUUCCCAUGACGUCGCCAGUGUCCCCUUCUAACGAGCCCGACACCGCCCACUCGCCAGCCCUCCCCUUCCUCUAUUCGUCGUGCCAUCCAUCAUUGUCUCCCUCUCCUCCCGCUGACCUCCCCAGCAACGCCCUCUUCCACACCGAUUGCCUUAUUUCUAGGGUCACCCUCUACCCCGACGUAGACCACCUCCCCGUCGUCUGCCUCCGUUUUGUUUGUGGCAACCCCUCAGCCCAUGGAAGCUGAUCAACGCGUCGUAAAUGGUGUAGCUACUCCAAGGAAGCUGGAGCUUGAACGCUUCUGAAUAGGCUUACAUCCAUGUUUGUUGCCUUGGAGUUGCCGAGGCCAGAAAUUUUUUGGCUGUGUUAACUUCAGCCAAAAAAAGUAUAUCUACUCUAGUAAUAGCUCAUCUAAAUGAAUUAUGUUUUUCACUUGUAUACUUUGCAUGUAAUCUUUCGCCAAGAUCCAACACAGAUAUAACAUCACUAACAUUCAAUUGCAAAAAAGAAACAGAAAUUACUGACAUUCAAUCCACAAUUCUAACAAUUCUCUAAUUGACCUUUUUAUUCUAUUUUCCCGAUCUAAGGUCAGGACAACAUUUUUAGAUAACACAAUGUAUCAGUAUUAUCACCACUGCUAAAAUAAAGAAAUUUAGGACAUGGUACAAAAUUCAGAAUCACUACAUCUACAGUUCAUAUGAUAAACAACAGUGGCCUGUAGCUCGUACAUGUACAGUAUCCAUGUUAGAAAGACCCCAAGUAUUUCAAAUAGACACACACACACACACACAUAUAUAUAUAUAUAGAGAGAGAGAGAGAGAGAGAAUAUUACAUUACUCGACUCUCCAAGCAUGCACACACUUGUGUUUUGCAAGACUGUGCUCUGCCCCUACAAGCAGACCGUGCUCUGCCCCUACAAGCAUGCAUGUUAAAGUAAAUAUCCUGUAUAUUUGGCAUGUAAUCAGCCCUUGCCGUAUUAUCGGAUUGUAUUCUGUCUAUGAUUGAUACGGCUGGGUCAAGUCCUUGUUUCCCAAGGCAUCUGUACAUGAUGGAUAUAUAUACUAAUAUGAGCUGAUCGCCCAAGCGUGGCGUUUCCCUCAAUUCUCCCUGUCUCUCUUGUUUACAUGGUAUCAGACUACAUCUGCAUCGCAUCUGCAUAGUUCGAUCCUUCGGCCUGCAACUAGACGCCAUGACUUCCUCCGGCCAAACCUCCGGUGCUCUUGGCGCCAUGACCUCUCCAUCUCAGCUCUCUGCCACAAACAGCGCCCUCACCACCGUCACGGCUCCUGCAUCCCCGGCCUCCAACGCAGUGCAUGUGGCCAGCGUCAAGACCCAUGUCCCCGUCGUCCUCGACCUCAAGGCGUCGAACUUUACCAAGUGGCGCAUGCUGAUCACCGUUCUCUUGGGCAAGUACGACCUCAUCGGCCAUAUAGCUGCCGCUACUCCGGCUGCUGAUCGCACGCCAGAGUGGAGCCGCGAGGACUUCGUCGUCCGCUCGUGGUUGUACGGCUCCAUUAGCGACGACAUCCUGGAUAUUAUCAUGGCGGAAGACCAGACGGCGCACGAGGCGUACACGCUCAUCCAGAACUUGUUCCUCGACAACCAGAUGACGCGCGCUGUUUAUCUCGAGGCGGAGUUCCGUGCCAUCGUUCAAGGCGAUCUCACCAUCACCGCCUAUUGUCACCGGCUCAAAUCCCUCUCUGAUGCACUCCGCGACGUCGGCCAGCCGGUGUCGGAUCAGACCUUGGUCUUGACGUGCCUACGUGGCCUCAAUUCUCGCUUCGCCGACAUCACCACUCUGGUCACCAUGCAGGUUCCGUUCCCUACGUUCCUGCAGACAAGGUCUCUCCUUCUUCUUCGUGAGACGCAGCUCUCGCACACCAUGCCUACGCCACCGCCGCAGACCGCCAUGUACGGCCACGGCGCCGGUGCCUCCUCUGGCGGUGCCUACAAUGGAGACCGCUCCUCAGGUGACCGCAACUCCGGCGGCAACGGCGGCCGCUUCCAGAAAAAGAAGAAGAACGGGGGCGUCGGUCACUACCGUGGCAACGGUGGCGAGCGUAACCACAACGGCGGUGGCUCUUCCGGUACCCACGCUGCAGCUGGUCCGUGGAUCUGCUUCAACCCCUACACGGGCCAGGCCCAGCCGCUGCCGGUCUCCUGGCGCCCCGCUGGUGGAGCAGGCCUUCUUGGACCGCGGCCUGCUGCACCCCAGCGCCCGUACGUACCUGCCCAACAGCAGUUUGCGUACGCGCCGCCCCAGCAGCAAGCGUAUACUACGCUGCUCGCUCCACUCCAUGGGCAGGCGUACGGCACUGACCCACCGCCACCGGGUACACCCUCCAGCCACGGCGCUCCAGCUUGGGACUGCUCGGCGCUCAUGGCUGCCCUAAAUAAUGCUGCUGCAUCAUCUUCAUCCGCUGGUGAAUGGAUCAUGGACUCGGGAGCCACCUCCCAUAUGGUUUCCAACCCUGGUAUAAUCUCUCUUCCUUCCAAACCGCCUCCGUUUUCUCAUAUCACCGUCGGCAAUGGGGUCACUUUACCCGUUGUCUCCACCGGCCACAUGACUUUGCCUACUUCGGCACGUACCUUUGCUCUCAAUAAUGUCCUUGUCGUUCCUGAUAUUAUUAAAAAUCUUCUUUCUACUCGCAAAUUUAGUACCGAUAAUUCUUGUUCUGUGGAGUUUGACCCUCUUGGUUUUUCCAUCAAGGAUCUUCGAACCAGGCGCGAGAUCACACGCUGCAAUAGUCCCGGUCCUCUCUACACCGUCUCCGCCGCCGCCAACCCGUCAUCUACUUUUGGACUCCUCGCAUCAUCCGACUCCACCGAGCUAUGGCAUCGUCGAUUAGGUCAUCCAGGUCGUGACGCUAUGUCACAUUUAUCAAAACAGUUUGCUAUUCCUUGUAAUAAUGCAGCCGUUUCAGUCUGCCAUGCGUGUCAACUUGGCAAGCAUGUUCAUUUGCCGUUUUCUAGGUCUAAAACUUUUAGUGUGGUGCCUUUUCAGUUAAUUCACUGUGAUUUGUGGACAUCUCCUAUUCCGAGUAAUUCUGGUUUAAAAUACUAUCUUGUUAUUGUCGAUGAUUACUCCCACUACAUGUGGACAUUUCCUCUCCGCCAUAAGUCAGAUGCAACCACUGUGAUUACUAACUUUGUGGCAUUUGCACGCACACAGUUUGACCUUCCCGUUGUUGCCAUGCAAGCCGACAAUGGCACUGAGUUUGUCAACUCCACAUUGUCCACCUUCUUUACUGGUCACGGCAUCCAUCUUCGCCUUUCAUGUCCCUACACAUCUCCACAAAAUGGAAAAGCCGAGCGUGCUCUUCGCACCCUCAAUGAUAUUACUCGUACACUUCUCUUCCAAGCCCACAUGCCCUCCUCUUAUUGGGCUGAAGCUCUUGCUGCUGCUACCUAUCUUCUAAACCGACGACCUUCUCAGCCUAUUGGGUUUUCCAUCCCAUACGAGCUUCUUUAUCGCAUGCCCGCUUCCUAUGCCGAGCUACGUGUUUUCGGAUGCCUUUGCUACCCAAACCAAUCUGCCACAGCAAAACACAAAUUAUGCCCUCGCUCCACUGCAUGUGUUUUUCUUGGAUACCCCUCCUCACAUCGUGGCUAUCGUUGUCUUGAUCUUUCAAGUCGGCGUAUAAUCACUUCUCGUCAUGUCAUUUUCGACGAACAUACAUUUCCGUUUGCUAGUAUUAACCCUGCUCCUUCCGCUACAUCUCUCGACUUUCUUCUGGAUUUAGUAGCCACCGAGCCACCUCCAUUCACUCCUUCCCUCACGCAUGCUCCUGUUGCACCACAUGCACGUACUACUGAUCCACGUACUACUGCAUGUCCUAGCUCAGGUGCUAGUUCCUGUCCUAGCUCGCCCAUGCAUCAGCCACACUCACCAGCACCUGAUUCUCCUCCUAUGCAUGCCUCGCCUACCUCGGCCAACUCUCCCGCACCUGUCGCUUCGCCGGCGCAAGCUGCUGCACCAGAAACCCAGCCAAAAACCCAACGUGGACGUACUGUCUCUCGCACCGAACCAGCCACCAACACACACCAUAUGCUGACACGCCUCAAGCACGGCAUUGUCCAACCGGUUGAUCGCCUUAAUCUUUCGGCUGUUCACACCUCCAUUUCUCCUAUUCCUAAAACAUACCGGGGUGCCCUCCAUGAUCCUAACUGGCGUAGUGCAAUGGCUGAUGAAUAUAAUGCACUAAUUCAUAAUCGCACAUGGACCCUGGUUCCUUGUCCGGUUGGUGCUAAUGUUGUUUCAGGUAAAUGGAUCUUCAAGCAUAAGUUCGCAUCUGAUGGUGGCCUUGCUCGCUACAAGGCUCGAUGGGUGGUUCGUGGCUUUUCUCAGCAGCCGGGCGUCGACUUUGACGAGACAUUUAGCCCCGUCGUCAAGCCUGCCACCAUCCGCGUCGUCCUCACCAUCGCGGCUUCUCGUGGCUGGCCGGUUCACCAACUCGAUGUCAAAAAUGCCUUUCUCCAUGGCACAAUUGACGAGGUGGUGUACUGUGAGCAGCCCCCUGGCUUUAUCGACUCGGCUCGUCCUCAUCACGUGUGUCGCCUUCACAAGUCGCUCUACGGUCUCAAGCAGGCUCCGAGGGCAUGGUACCAACGCUUCGCCCACUAUGCUCAUCGCCUCGGCUUCGUCGCAUCUCUUUGUGAUGCUUCUCUCUUCAUACUUCGACAAGGCGAUGAGCUUGCGUACCUACUGUUGUACGUUGAUGAUAUCAUCCUCACAGCUUCGAGUUCGGAUCUACUACAGCACAUCACCGACAUGCUUCACCGCGAGUUCUCUAUGACGGAUCUCGGGGAUCUAUCCUAUUUCCUCGGGAUUUCGGUCUCUCGCUCGUCAUCGGGGAUGCUUUUAUCCCAACGCCAGUACGCCAUCGACCUUCUUCACCGUGCCGGCAUGCUUGAUUGCAACCCGUGUGCCACCCCCAUCGACACUCGUUGCAAGCUCUCCGCCGAUGAGGGUCCUCUCGUUGACGAUCCCACGGAGUACCGCAGUUUUGCCGGUGCACUUCAGUACUUGACACUGACACGUCCUGACAUAGCUCACGCUGUACAACAGGCAUGUUUGUACAUGCAUGCACCACGGGAGCCGCAUCUAAACCUUGUAAAGAGGAUUCUUCGCUAUGUCAAGGGCACAUUGGAUCUUGGUCUUCGCCUCCACUCGACACCGGCUACGUCUCUCACGGCCUACUCCGACGCUGACUGGGCAGGUUGUCCCAACACUCGUCGCUCCACUUCUGGCUACUGUGUUUACCUUGGGGACAACCUUGUGUCAUGGUCUUCCAAGCGCCAGGCUAUAGUCUCCCGCUCUAGUGCCGAGGCGGAGUAUCGCGCAGUGGCCCAUGCUGUAGCUGAGUGUUGUUGGCUCCGUCAGCUUCUUCAUGAGCUUCAUCGACCCCUCCACUCCGCGACCAUCGUCUUUUGCGACAAUGUCAGUGCUGUCUACAUGGCCUCCAACCCUGUGCAACAUCGCCGCACGAAGCAUAUUGAGAUUGACAUCCAUUUUGUUCGUGAAAAGGUGUCUCUCGGGCAGAUUCGGGUUCUUCAUGUGCCAUCGUCUCAACAGUUCGCUGACAUCAUGACGAAGGGUCUACCGUCUCAGCUCUUUUUGGACUUUCGGUACAGCCUGUGCGUUCGUCCUCCCGACGCACUGCCUGAGGGGGGAUGUUAAAGUAAAUAUCCUGUAUAUUUGGCAUGUAAUCAGCCCUUGCCGUAUUAUCGGAUUGUAUUCUGUCUAUGAUUGAUACGGCUGGGUCAAGUCCUUGUUUCCCAAGGCAUCUGUACAUGAUGGAUAUAUAUACUAAUAUGAGCUGAUCGCCCAAGCGUGGCGUUUCCCUCAAUUCUCCCUGUCUCUCUUGUUUACAAUGCACACACUUGUGUUUUGCAAGAUACACAACCAGAUUAUGGACAGAUAAUAUACAACAUCUGGUUUGAUGAUGCCCUUGUUCUUGGUAACCUACAACAAAAACAACUAAUCAUUUUCAUCUUCUGUUAGAGAUAGGGGUUUGUUGUACUGCGGGUACUACUAUAGGACAAGGGUUUAGAUUCUCUAUUGUUCUUUCUUGUCUAAAAAUGAAUAAGAAAAAUUAUAUCUUCAUCAAUGAUGUUGGCAAAAUUCUAUGAAGUCCUUCUAGCUGGUAAAUCAUUCAAACUAAUGGCGAUGUUUCCCUACCACCAUACAGGAAAACUUUGUAGCCUGACUGGAUCUCCUAUGAUUGCAGCAAGGAAUUUGCGUCAUUGCCACACUCUAAAACUGGAAUUUGUCUUUCAGGGAGACUGUGUCGAGUGACAAUGGACCUUAGCUUCUGUCAUAUAAGAAGAUCCUAUAUGACAAACUCUACUUCACGAAUUGGAGUAAGACAACUAUUGUCAUUAUUCUUCUGAACAACUAAUAAAAUGAAAUCAUCGACAUCCAACUCACAUUUAGCAUGCAUACGUCACGAAGCACGUCCUUCUUCCAGAAUAAAUAAUAGUAUAAUUCUCAGAAAACAUAUUCUGUUUUGACUGACUUAUGGAAAACAGAAGUUUUAGAAUGUUUUCUUCCCUGACAGAAACUUGCUUUGCUUCCCUCACACUAUUAGUUCCAAUACAACAUAUCAGAUACAGGUUUUUUUUAUUGAUUUUCUUUUUAUGAAAGAAACAUGCAUGUGUAGAACGUAAUGAUAUCAUGUUUAGAGUUAACUACCGAACAUUAAAUGUUUGGCACGUAGCAUUUUUGCAGCUUGAUAGACAAUCAUAGAGUUAUUGCAAAAGCAGGAGCAUGUACCAGAUAAUUUGCAGAAUCACAACAUCUGGAGGUGUCUUCAAAGUUACAGGACUGUUCUAUGUCACAUAAAAAAGUUAAAUCGCUAUUAGAUUAAGGGACUGCAUUCCUUCUCCAAAUUACUACUCGUAAAAUUUUGCAAACAGGCCCAAAUGCAGAUUUGUAUGAACAACCUAAACUAUGCGAUUGCAGUUUCAGACUUUUAAUACCACUUGACACCAAUAUUAUCAGAAGUAUAGAUGGAAGUGCAUACUACGCGUUUAUCACAUCGACUUGUGAUAACCGAAAGGAUAACUAAGCACAAUGUGCACAUGAACCACAAUGCUAAUUCAAGUCCAAUAAACCAUGUGAAUUUUCAGGAAAAGAAUGUUAUGUGAUCCAAAUGAAAUUGUUAUUUAGAUAUACAUAGUGUCGAUCGAAACUACUGUGGCCUUAAGAGAAGCAGUAGACAUCGAGCUAGAAACAUACUACAGGUAGAUAACAUAAGUGCCAGGAUCCAAUAUUCAGUAAGAACAAUUAAAGCACCAAGUAGCCAAAUCAAAAUAUGUCCAUUUGCGCCUUUGUACAGAGAUUGAACAUGCUGAAACGCAGUGGAAGUAAAUCACAUGGGUAGCUGGUUAUAUUGUCUUAAAGUGAUCUUCUCAUACUGGAACCAUACAGAAAGUAAAUAGCAGAUUAUAUCGUCCUAAGUGAUCUUGCUAGAGAGGAUUAUCUAGAGAAAUGAUAAAGGAGAAAUAUAACCAACCUUGACCUGUUUGCAGCAUUUGGCCCCCAAGGCAACCUGGGUCAUUUACAAAUCCAGAUUUUAUACACCUCAUAGUCACCGGCAUCUUGCCACAAUAGGCCAAUACCUAGCCACUCAUAGUACCAUCAUCGUCCAUUGUUCUGGCCUGUUGCAUUCCUGGAUUGCAGUACACCUGAAAUUGUAGGAGUUCAUAACCUGGACACCACAGAGAAAGCUUCAUUGGUUGAGAAAAUUCGUUGCUUUUCACCACCUGCUGUAAGGGAAAGUACCAAUCACCCCAUUGAUCCUCCCUCUAAUAUCAACAAGCUGACAAAGUGGCAAUGGAGACCAAGGCUUAGCAUAUUAUUUCAAUCGAUUUGUCUACAACUUGUGUAUGUCCUGCAGAUUGAAAUUGAAGCGGUGAAGACCCUCUGGAAGGCAAGCCAAAGGAAGAGCACAAGUUUGUUAGGGAGGAGCGGCUGGGACUGCCCAGGCACAACAGAUCGGGAGUAGCAGCUACGAUCGUCGGGGCGGGAGCGCCGCUACCAUGGCAUAGAGAUGCUGCUGGAGAGAAGUGACAGGCGGGGAUACAUGAGAGGUUUCCAUGCCCGGCAGCGCAGAGCUGUGGCAGCUGAUUUUGCAACAGAGUUAAGAAAUGUCUGAAUGACUACCUACAAGAACAUGAGUUGCAUCCUUGAGUUGAUUUAUCCCAUGACCCAAAUCCAAUUUCUUCACUCCAUCCCUACAGAUAACAAACAUAUUGUAAUGCAUAUGUUGAGACCUGAGAGCUAAGAUCGAAGAACAACCAAAGCAAAGAAACAAUUGAGGUUCUUCCAGCAAAGAACUGAAGAAACGACAACAUAGCUGAUGCCAAAAUUCAACACAUGAG